rnacentral:rRNA from 1 species
GGAGUCUCGUGGGCUCGGAGAUGUGUAUAAGAGACAGAAUCGAAAGAUUAGCUAAUACCGCAUAUCUUCUGAGGAAGAAAGCAGGGGACCAUUUGGCCUUGCGCUGUUUGAGCGGCCGAUAUCUGAUUAGCUAGUUGGUGGGGUAAAGGCCUACCAAGGCGACGAUCAGUAGCGGGUCUGAGAGGAUGAUCCGCCACACUGGGACUGAGACACGGCCCAGACUCCUACGGGAGGCAGCAGUGGGGAAUAUUGGACAAUGGGCGCAAGCCUGAUCCAGCCAUGCCGCGUGUCUGAAGAAGGCCUUCGGGUUGUAAAGGACUUUUGUCAGGGAAGAAAAGGAUAGGGUUAAUACCCCUGUCUGAUGACGGUACCUGAAGAAUAAGCACCGGCUAACUACGUGCCAGCAGCCGCGGUAAUACGUAGGGUGCGAGCGUUAAUCGGAAUUACUGGGCGUAAAGCGGGCGCAGACGGUUACUUAAGCAGGAUGUGAAAUCCCCGGGCUCAACCUGGGAACUGCGUUCUGAACUGGGUGACUAGAGUGUGUCAGAGGGAGGUAGAAUUCCACGUGUAGCAGUGAAAUGCGUAGAGAUGUGGAGGAAUACCGAUGGCGAAGGCAGCCUCCUGGGAUAACACUGACGUUCAUGCCCGAAAGCGUGGGUAGCAAACAGGAUUAGAUACCCUGGUAGUCCACGCCCUAAACGAUGUCGAUUAGCUGUUGGGCAGCAUGACUGCUUAGUAGCGAAGCUAACGCGUGAAAUCGACCGCCUGGGGAGUACGGUCGCAAGAUUAAAACUCAAAGGAAUUGACGGGGACCCGCACAAGCGGUGGAUGAUGUGGAUUAAUUCGAUGCAACGCGAAGAACCUUACCU